CUUCCAGUAGCACCUUAGAGACCAACUAAGUUUGUUAUUGGUAUGAGCUUUCAUGUGCAUGAGCAUCUCUUCAGAUACCACACUUCAGAUAUGCACACUUCUUCAGAUACACGAAAGCUCAUACCAAUAACAAACUUAGUUGGUCUCUAAGGUGCUACUGGAAG